rnacentral:lncRNA from 1 species
AAAGCAAUAAAUGAAAAGGAAGAAAAAGGAACCUAAAUAUCUACCCCAGUCAAUUCAAAAACGGCUGGAUACCAUUAAUUCUCUUGAUUUGUUAUUUCAAAAUUCAAUCCAUUCUGACGAUAGUAGUUUCCAAGGAUAAGACUUUACUUGAUAUCAUCUUUUGAAAUCAUUUCCCUCAAACACUCCUUCAGUCUGUAUUUUUUAGCCAUCUUCUCUGCAAAGCGAAAAUAUGGUGCUUUAGCUCUUCUCCCAUCAGGUAAAAGGUUUCUCCUCUAUCAAGAGCGUCUUUUGCUAGUCUAUAUGCAUGCGAGUUCCCUAAUCUGUGAAUAUGCUGAAAGAUAAUCUCUUGAAAACAAGGUUUCUUAUUCUGAAUGUCUUUGAUAAUAGCUUCAAUCACUGAUUUAUUUGUUAAAUUCAUUUGGUAUUUUUUGAUUAUUAUUUUGGAGUCCCUAUAAGUUUAACCGAUUGAAGUCCCAGUGAGAUCCCUAACUUUGUGCCUUCUAAACAUGCAUACGCUUUUGCUGCAAAUGGGGAGGAAAUAUUAUUGUGAAUGAUCGUCUUUAAGACCAGUAGUUCCCCCCUCAGAUCCUAACCCACCAGACCUGCUGCUGAUUUGAAGUUUCUACUAUCAAACGCUGCAUCGAAAUGGAUCGUUAUUCUCGGUAUGUCCUCCUGGAUUCUGUAAUUUCUGUUCAUAUUAGCAGGAAUCUUAAUUGCUUUCAUUCCUUCAUAUUUUGCCAUAUGCCUCUGUAUGUUUUGUGCUAAAACUACUCCUGUUGUACUUUUCCCCUCAUGUAUGAAUUGAUUUCUGGAAAACCAUAUUAACCAUAAAGCAUAACAGAAGAGUCGGCAUUGAGCGUCGUUACCUCUCUUGAAAAUCCAAGUUAGCCACUCCCUUAGAAUUUGAUUCAUAUUAUUCAUGACCCAGGACAAAUUUAAAAACUGCCAAACUUCUGUUGUUGUAGGACAUUCACGGAAGAUAUGAAGGCUAUCUUCUGCCCAGGAGCAGCAACGGGGACAUCUGUCGUUUGAAAUGACUUCUCUGUACCUGAGAUUAGCAAGAUUAGGAAUAAAAUCCCAGGAAAUUCGCCAAAUAGUGAUUACGAUUUUUGAAGGUAGCUGGAGGCUCCAUAAUUUCCUGUAAAAUUCUUUAGUUUCGGUCUAUAAUAAAUAAUUAGUAGGAUCCAGAAUAGCAUAUUGUAACUGCGUAUUGAAUACUCGCCGGAUAAUUCUCCUUUCCAGACUUGAGUAACCUCGUGAUCAGUCUCUGCAAGAGGGAUCUGUAGAAUUUUUUGAGCAAUUUCUGCUUGAAAGGUACUAUUAAUCAAAUCCGACCUCCAUUUUCUGUUUGUAUUAUCAAUAAGAUCCGAGACUAACUGUAAUUCCCUAUUGUUUGAUCUAUUAUGUCCAUCAACUGUAUCAAUCCCCCGUAUCCAGCUAUCUUCCCAAAUAGAAAUUUUGUCUCCUUUGCCCACUCUCCAGCACAUCCCUUUUUGGAGAAGUCCCUUUGCUGCCCAAAUACUCUUCAGGUAAGUGAAGGUAAAUUUCCCAAACUCUGCAUUUAGAAAACUUGAUUGCGGAUAGUACUUUGCUUUUAAAACUCUGGCUAAUAAAGAAUUUGGAUAAUUAAUAAGGCGCUAACCCUGUUUGGCUAAUAAUGCAAUAUUAAAUUGACCAAGAUUUCGAAAACCUAAACCACCAUUUUCUUUUAAGGAACAAAGGUUUUUCCAAAUGCACCAAUAAAUUCCCCUUUUUCCAUGUCCCUUUUGCCACCAGAACCUCGCAACGAUACUUUUGAGUUCAUCAC